rnacentral:lncRNA from 1 species
AUUCUGGGUGUGUCAGAGCUCCUGGAGUAAAGAUGCCUCUGGGCCCCUAAUAUCCUGGUGUAACCAAGCUCCUGGGAUCCUGGGAUCCCAGGAUCCUGGCUGUGUUAGAGUGCCUGGGAGUGGAGCCUCCUCUGGGUUCUGUGGGACUGGCUGCAGAGUUUGUGGCCAAGUUAAUCCAGUGCAGACCAGAAGGAACCCGAGCCACUGAUCGGGUGGAAUUCCUGUGUCCCUGGAGUCUGCUGGUCCUAGUUACUCCCAGUGGUGUUGGAACAGAUGUUGUUGUGUCCUACUCACCCCUGAACCUAAUAUCCUGGGUGUGCUAGAGCACCUGGGAGAGGAGCCUCCUAUGGGAGCUGUGAGACUGGCUGCAGAGUUUGAGCCCAAGGAAGAAUCACAGCUCUUCAUGUGUCCAAGAGAUCAAGUAUAUUCUUCUUUCUUACCUUCAAGACAAUAAGAAGAAACCUUCCAAAGGCAAUGCAUCUGAUUGCUGCAAGCUGCUGCUGUGACUUCCCAUCACCAUGGAUUGUAACCUGGAACUGUGAACUGGCAGAAGGAAACACUCCAGAAGAAGGGACAGAGAGUAGGAACUGU